rnacentral:sRNA from 1 species
AGAACGGUUCUCGCCUUAAGUCAGUUC